UAAUCCCUUUAAAAUUUUCGUAUCCCGCUCCUAAUUCCCCCAAUCUCUCUCUCUCUCUCUCUCUCUCUCAAAACCUAAAACUGACUCUGCCAAUUCACGAUGUCAGCCCUAGAUCGACGAAGAUUCACCGAUGAUUCCCCAAUCGUUCCUCCACAUCACCGAAGAUUCACCAAUUGUUCUGCAUAAAACCUAGAUCGACGACUCCUUAAUCGUUCCUCUAACCAAUUUCUGUUAAACUUUUGCUGGUAAUCGAAGUUGUUCUCGAUUUCAUGUCGUUUCACGGAUUUGAGUAUCAUGGCACGUAGUACAGCAGAUGCCGGCAGAUGUCGUGGUUUAGUGGCAGGAGGCGGCAGAGGGCAAGUUGUGCUGGAAGGCGGAACCAAUGUAGAACGAUAUUUGAUAUUGUGAAUGCGAAAACAAACGUCGGUCGCACAACAACAGCAACAACACAGGCGCAGAAUCUGCAGCCUCACAUAGUUGGCAAUCUGAUCAGCGAAUCAGCGAUGCCGGUCCGGCAGGCGGCAAUCUGAUCAGCGGUUCGGCACUCAGCAGGGCUUCAGGCGAUUUGAUAUUGUGGAGUAGGGAAGAUGAAUGGAAAUAAGUGCUUUUGCGCGUCUUAUGGUUGAAACGGGAACACAUAGUCAAGCUGAAUGCGAAUCGGACAGUGAUGGGGACUCUUCGUGGGUUUGACCAGUUCAUGAAUCUAGUCAUCAACAACACAGUGGAAGUCAACGGUGAAGAGAAAAAUGAAAUCUGCAUGGUGGUUAAAUAUGAAGGUUUUCUUGAGGAGAAGUAUGGGAAAGAACGUAAUAAACAUUCAAAAUUUGACAAAGACUUGUGGUCACGAGCUGAGGGCAAGAAUAAAGGAAAAGUGUACGGGUUAGGCAAUGAUAGUGACCCAUGUGUACAUAGCAGAGAAGACCCAUUUUUAUUCCUUUUGGACUAAUAACUUUUGUGCACAUGCUACUAAGUUGUUUCCCACUGUUAUUAUGCUAUAUAUGUUUAUAUAUUCAUACUAAAAAUAUAUUAUUACUUUGAUUUUACAAAAUUUAGCAUAUUACACUAGUACACAAUUGGGCAAAUGAUGCGGAUGACAAAACUAAAAGAUGCGGUUAAAUGGUUAACCCGCAUCUUUUGCCCUGACCCUAAAACUAAAAAGUACAUCUGUUUUCUAAGUUGUUCAUACAGUACUAGGCAUGCUAUAUAUGUUGAUGAAUACGUUUACGGUCGCAUUUACAUGCUACUAAGCUGUUUGAGGUAAAUAUUCUUCAUUUAACAGAAUAAGCAGGUUUCGAUCUCGUCUACUUCGUUAUGUACUAAUUAAUUUUCUUUUCUUUCUCACAUAGACCUAAAUUUUGCAAUGUCUCGGUAGUUUUGUACUAACUUUACUCUGAUUUUUUGGUAAUGAACAGGUUUUCAAUCGGAUUCAGCCGUCGUUAAGCUGUUUUAUCGCUGUUUGGAUUGGAUAUGAUGGGAUCUACUACAACAAAUAUCGGAAAGGGUCGUGGCCAUUAAUAUUUCACUUUGCAUUGGUUUUAUUAGAUCAAAAGGUUGAACGUGAUUAUCCAAGUUACAGUGAAAGAAAAAGAAAGGUUGAACAAUAUUAUUGCAGAAUUGGUGGUGGAAAAAGAGAGAUAAGGCGGAGAAAGAGGCUAUGAAUGAAAGGAUGGCAAACAUUGAAGCGAUGCUAAAAGCUAGGUUUCAAAACGUAUAAUCAUCGACUUAGGUUUCAAAACGUAUAAACACUUUGUUUUGAAUAUGUAUUUUGUUAUGAUAACUUUGGUAUUUGAUGUUUCAAGUGGGAUGUUUUAUAUAAUUGUGAAAAUUUGAUAAUAUGUAAAAUUUAAAAUUGA